rnacentral:lncRNA from 1 species
AUUGCUUACCAAUAUUCUAAUCUGGUCUGACAAUUUUUUUUUUUUUUUAUAAAUAAAUGUGUCACUUUUAUUUUUUUAUUUUUAUUUUCUUUUAAAGAUUUUAUUUUUUCCUUUUUCUCCCCAAACCCCCCCGGUACAUAGUUGUGUAUUCUUCGUUGUGGGUCCUUCUAGUUGUGGCAUGUGGGACGCUGCCUCAGCGUGGUCUGAUGAGCAGUGCCAUGUCCGCGCCCAGGAUUCGAACCAAUGAAACACUGGGCCGUCUGCAGCGGAGCGCGCGAACUUAACCACUCGGCCACGGGGCCAGCCCCUCUGGUCUGACAAUUUGAUAGAUGACCAGUGUUGCCUUGGUAAUUUCAUUUGCCUUUGAUUACACUGGAUAUCUUAAAUGUGUGUUUUAUUUGUUGUUUUCUAUUUUAGUGCUUUAUUUUCUCUACUUUCUAUCUUUUGUUAUAUAUGUGCAUCCUCAUUGUUUGAGGGCUUGCUACUUGAGAAUUCACUUACUGAAUAAAAUGUAUUUGUAACCUCAAAGUCAACUUGCAGGCCCUUCUGUGGUCCUACACAGACGUGUGCAGAGCAGGGAAAAUCUGAGCCGCUCAACACACAAGUUCCCAGCUGAGGUUGAACAAGGCAACGCUCUGCCUUCUCGUUUCAGCUCUCGUCGUAAACAAGCGUCCUUUGUGUGGCCUAUUUAGUGCCAUGCUUUUUGCAUUUUCAUGCCUUUUUUUGGUGAUUUCACUGUUUAGAAUGACCACCAAGCAUAGUGCUGAAGAGCUGUCAAGUGUUCCCUGGUCCAAGGAAGCUGUGAUGUGCCUUAUAGGUAAAAUACACGUGUUAGAUCAGCUUCGUUCAGGCAUGAGUUACAGUGCUGUUGGCCGUGACUUCAGUGACUUCAUUCAACAAUAUAUAUCAAAUAAGGUGUCUUUACACAGAAACACACAUAAAAUAAGGUUAUGUAGUGAUCAGUUGACAAAAUUGUUGUGACCAGAAGCUCACAGGACUCUAACCCUGUGUUUCCCCAGGAGCAAUGGCUCAGCAUUUGCUAAUUCAGUGCUCGCGGUGACUUUACAGAACAUAACUACAGUGGCUAAUGAGAACUGAUUGCACUGUUUUCUACGGUUUUUCUCUCAGUGACUUAGAAGGUCAGCGGUCAGCUCCUCCUUAUCUUCACCCCCUUCUGAGCACUUAUUUCUCAGAAUCCCUUGCCAUUGAGGUUCCAGUUUAGGUUCUGCCAUUGAGAAUUACUCGUUUGAGAUUAGGAAGGUGGAAGAGAAGGAGAAGGUACAUGUUCCUCCGGCAGCAGCAGGUGGAAUCUCGGACGGAUGGCGGUGUCCUGACUUCUGUGCUACACGCGUAAGUAAGUAAGGUAAGUAAGGUAAAAACUUAGCAUGCUUUUACUUCCAUCUACUUUCUCGCCUAUCUACCUUUGUUGGUAUAAUCUGGAGUCUCAUCAAAGUUAUAAUUAAUUAUUUUUUUGACAUUUGCAUUCUAUCUUGUAAUCAUAUUUCCAAUAAUUAUUUAGGCUUCGUUUAACAUAUAACAGGUUUUAGUGCUCACCACUGCCCUUUCACAACACAAAUUAGCCUUUGUUGAGUUCUUUAUUUGCUGUGUCUUGGUUUCUGUAAAAAGCCUUUCAGUCCUUGUCUGAAGAAGGACGUAUAGAGAAGACAGACUUUCCAAGUGCGUGAAGAGCUGAGACUAUUUCUUUGUUGUUUUUAUACAGGACUUGACUGAGUCCAUGGUCUUGAUUAACUACCCUAUUCCCUCAAAACUGUAACGGUUGACACGUUCUUUUCGCAUUUAACAUGGAUUUAUGGGAGAAGUUUGAAGUCACAUGGGUUUUCUUCCUUUUUACAUUAACUAUCCCUCUCCCCUCAAUGCUUAUAUGAUUUUUUUCCUGCAGUCUUGAUAUUUACAAAUUCUGUCAUGUGUAUCUAUGGGUUGGUCUCUUGUCGUUAACUUUUCUUGGUACUCAGUGAACCCCUUUGAAAUGUGGAAACUUUUGCCAGAUACAGUGCUAAGUGCUCUGUACGUAUCACUGGUGACAACCCUAUGAGGUGAUAGCUAUUGUCCUUCCCCAUUCAGAGAUGAUGAGAUGGAGUUCCAGCGCUCAUAGGAGGUCAACAGGCCUUGGGCAAGUCCUAAAUACAUCCGUCCUCAGGAGAGUUAUAUAUUAAUUAACCAUUGCUGCAUAACAAAUUACCCCGAAUGUAUUCAAAAAAUAAACAUCGAUUGUCUUGCAGUUUCAUGGGUUUUGGAAUCUUCUGCCUCAAAACCUCUCACACUUGAGGUGCUGGCCUGGGCUGGAGAGAGCAGCUGCGUGACUGUGGACAGAAAUGACCAGUUGUGAGCGCGUCACAGGACGCCCGUGUCGGCGGUGUUCCCCCCACAGCUCAAACCCUCGGGACUCGACGGCACUGAGACGCAGUAGCAGGGCCUGAAGGAAGAUUCUUUGUGCAGAACAUCCUGUCUCUGAAUCUUCGAUUUCAUUUGCUCUCCUGAUGCUCCAUCAGCCUCUCCUCCGAGAGCCCCUCUCCCUUGCUCGGUGCCCCUGGAUGCAUGAGACCUGAUCUGCCUGCUCCAGGCCUGGGCUCCACCCGCUGCCCCAGCACAGCAUUCAGCAUCCAGGGUCUCCCCCGGACCCCUCUCUCUCAGAAGAGAGAGGAACAGUCCUCUUUUGGACCUGGCUUUCUGACUGGGCCAGCCUCUAUACCUGAUGCAGGAAGAAAGGAGCCAGCUUCUCAGGCUGCCGCAGGCCCAGGGACGCAUCUUCCUGAAGACACUGCAAGCUUGAGGCCUUCGAACCGCGGCUCUCGGGACUGAGCCAUCAGUACCUGCGAAGUUUUGUCUCUGGGACUUCGAUAGCACCUCCAGUCAGACAUGUUAAAAAACAAAAUAACAAAAGCCAAGCAAACCCCACACCACCCGGAGGUUGUAUACAAGUCUCAAAUUUCUGAUCUGCCGUACAUCCAGAAGUGACGUCAAACGUCAUUUUACAAACGCUUUAUCCAUUUCUCAAUUAGGAGUUCUCAAAGAUGUCGAGACCAAGAGUAUCUGAAUAAUACAAAAACCCCACUUCCUUUCACUAUUUUUCCUUUCCUCAGGUAGAAAAACAAAUCGUUAUGAGAAUGACUGGGAGAAGUCAGUGGGGUGAGGCUUGGCCUUUAUUAAGUAGCAGAACUGAAUUAUUAAUUCAUGUGAGGAAUGAAAGUACAGUCUCUUAUACCCUAAAUGUUUGGACCUCAAAGCCCAGCCCACACGUUUCCUGCGAGGAACACUGGCUACACGAUUUGUAGGGCCCGGUGCAAAAUGAAAAUGAGGCACCCCUUGCUUAAAAUUGUUCAGAAUUUAAGACAUCAACAGCAGAGCUUUCAAACCCAGUGCACGGCCCGCUGGAGUGAGGAGCCCUGGGUGGACGUCCGUGGAGCUGGCCCGCUUGGGAGCGGUGACCAGCAUUUGAGCCCUGGGAGAAAGGGAAAGGUAAACCUUCUACUCUACCAGUGGAUGCCCAAGAAAGAAGCAACCUUGUGCACCAGGUCACACCAAAGAAGGCUGGGGUCAGACCACCACUCCCAAUGCACCCCCUUCAUGUCUGUGUUUGGAAUAAGAACUCCAGCCCCCACCCACUGAACCAGUGUCUGUGUCACCAGUGGAUGAGACCCAAUUUCUGG